UUUUUAUAAGGAUUUUUGUUGUCAUCCACACACAAAACAAAUGGGCUUCUGACCUCAGUGGGACAAAAGCUUGGGUGGAAAAAAUGGCCAUUCCGUGCUUUAGGAAACUGGACACUUAUUUGAACCGGGAUCUACCUUACCAUGAUAUUCUAAAGAAAUCCUCGCUUCAACAAUUUUCAAAAGAUCUGAUGCGAAACCUUUUGUUCCCGAUGCGAAACUCUCCACACAGAGCAGUCGCUUCUGGUUCCUUGCUCCUCACACAAUAUUCUAUUGAACGACUUUUACAGCUAGGGACGGUUUUUCAAUCGACACCAAAAUAUAAAUUAAAAUCAUUAUUUAACAAGGUUUAACAAGCUUUUAUCUAGUCGUGAAAUAGGACACCAAAAUUAAAAGUAAAAUCAUUAGUUAACAAGGUUUAGCAAGCCUUAAUUUACUCGUGAAAUAGGACACCAGUCUGUAGAAACGCACGGAGAAACUCUCCGUAGACUUGUACACAGUGGACACCUAUUUCCCCACGUAAUUUCUCAUUGACAUCCAACCACCAAUUAACAAGGUUUAACAAGCCUUAAUUUAGUCGUGAAAUAGGACACCAAAAUACAAAUCAAAAUCAUAAUUUAACAAGAGUAAACAAGCUUUAAUAUAGUCGUGAAAUAGGACACCAAAACAAAAUAAAUCACUAGUUAACAAGUUUUAGCAAGCCUUAAUUUACUCGUGAAAUAGGACACCAGUCUGUAGAAACGCACGGAGAAACUCUCCAUAGACUUGUACACAGUGGACACCUCUUUCCCCACGUAAUUUCUCAUUGACAUCCAACCACCAAUUAACAAGGUUUAACAAGCCUUAAUUUAGUCGUGAAAUAGGACACCAAAAUACAAAUCAAAAUCAUAAUUUAACAAGAGUAAACAAGCUUUAAUAUAGUCGUGAAAUAGGACACCAAAACAAAAUAAAUCACUAGUUAACAAGGUUUAGCAAGCCUUAAUUUACUCGUGAAAUAGGACACCAGUCUGUAGAAACGCACGGAGAAACUCUCCAUAGACUUGUACACAGUGGACACCUCUUUCCCCACGUAAUUUCUCAUUGACAUCCAACCACCAAUUAACAAGGUUUAACAAGCCUUAAUUUAGUCGUGAAAUAGGACACCAAAAUACAUUAUUUAACAAGGGUAAACAAGCUUUAAUAUAGUCGUGAAAUAGGACACCAAAA